AAGCGUUUGCGACCAGACCUUUUCCUAGCGGAUCAUCCGGUGUUCUCACCGGUGCACUUCGCUAGGUUUAGGCCAGCAUCGGUUUCUGUAGGGGGAUAAAAGCUUUGGGAAUGUAGCUCCCUCGGGAGUGUUAUAGCCCUUUGCAUAAUACCCUUACGGGGACCGAGGACCGCGCUUUUGCAAGGAUGCUGGCAUAAUGGUCGUCAACGA
rnacentral:rRNA from 1 species